rnacentral:tRNA from 1 species
AGUAGCGUGGUGUAAUGGAAGCAUCCUGGAAGCUGAGUACAUCGGAACUAUAGAGGUGCAGGUUCGAAUCCUGCCGCUACUA